rnacentral:rRNA from 1 species
GUGCCAGCCGCCGCGGUGAUACGUAGGUGGCAAGCGUUGUCCGGAUUUACUGGGCGUAAAGGGCGUGCAGGCGGUUCGUUAAGUUCGGGGUGAAAGCUCUCGGCUCAACUGGGAGAGGUCUCCGGAUACUGGCGGACUUGAGGAGGGUAGAGGAGAGUGGAAUUCCCGGUGUAGUGGUGAUAUGCGUAGAUAUCGGGAGGAACACCAGUGGCGAAGGCGGCUCUCUGGGCCCUACCUGACGCUGAGACGCGAAAGCGUGGGGAGCGAACCAGAUUAGAUACCCCCGUAGUCC